UACGGGGGGGGCAAGCGUUGUUCGGAAUUACUGGGCGUAAAGGGUUCGUAGGUGGCUUACUAAGUCAGACGUGAAAUCCCUCAGCUUAACUGGGGAACUGCGUCUGAUACUGGAAAGCUUGAGUGCAGGAGAGGAACGCGGAAUUCCAGGUGUAGCGGUGAAAUGCGUAGAUAUCUGGAGGAACACCGGUGGCGAAGGCGGCGUUCUGGACUGCAACUGACACUGAUGAACGAAAGCCAGGGGAGCAAACGGG
rnacentral:rRNA from 1 species